rnacentral:rRNA from 1 species
GAUGAACGCUGGCGGCGUGCCUAAUACAUGCAAGUCGAGCGAACAGACGAGGAGCUUGCUCCUCUGACGUUAGCGGCGGACGGGUGAGUAACACGUGGAUAACCUACCUAUAAGACUGGGAUAACUUCGGGAAACCGGAGCUAAUACCGGAUAAUAUAUUGAACCGCAUGGUUCAAUAGUGAAAGACGGUUUUGCUGUCACUUAUAGAUGGAUCCGCGCCGCAUUAGCUAGUUGGUAAGGUAACGGCUUACCAAGGCGACGAUGCGUAGCCGACCUGAGAGGGUGAGAGGCCACACUGGAACUGAGACACGGUCCAGACUCCUACGGGAGGCAGCAGUAGGGAAUCUUCCGCAAUGGGCGAAAGCCUGACGGAGCAACGCCGCGUGAGUGAUGAAGGUCUUCGGAUCGUAAAACUCUGUUAUUAGGGAAGAACAAAUGUGUAAGUAACUAUGCACGUCUUGACGGUACCUAAUCAGAAAGCCACGGCUAACUACGUG